rnacentral:rRNA from 1 species
AGCGAACGCUGGCGGCAGGCCUAACACAUGCAAGUCGAACGAAGUCUUCGGACUUAGUGGCGGACGGGUGAGUAACACGUGGGAACGUGCCUUUAGGUUCGGAAUAACUCAGGGAAACUUGUGCUAAUACCGAAUGUGCCCUUCGGGGGCAAGAUUUAUCGCCUUUAGAGUGGCCCGCGUCUGAUUAGCUAGUUGGUGAGGUAAAGGCUCACCAAGGCGACGAUCAGUAGCUGGUCUGAGAGGAUGAUCAGCCACAUUGGGACUGAGACACGGCCCAAACUCCUACGGGAGGCAGCAGUGGGGAAUCUUGCGCAAUGGGCGAAAGCCUGACGCAGCCAUGCCGCGUGAAUGAUGAAGGUCUUAGGAUUGUAAAAUUCUUUCACCGGGGACGAUAAUGACGUUACCCGGAGAAGAAGCCCCGGCUAACUUCGUGCCAGCCGCCGCCGUAAUAC